rnacentral:rRNA from 1 species
AUUGAACGCUGGCGGCAUGCUUUACACAUGCAAGUCGAACGGUAGAGGGGGCAACCCCUUGAGAGUGGCGAACGGGUGAGUAAUGCAUCGGAACGCCCAGUCGUGGGGGAUAACGCAGCGAAAGCUGUGCUAAUACCGCAUACGAUCUCUGGAUGAAAGCGGGGGACCGAAAGGCCUCGCGCGAUUGGAGCGGCCGAUGUCAGCUUAGGUAGUUGGUGGGGUAAAGGCUCACCAAGCCAACGAUGUGUAGCUGGUCUGAGAGGACGACCAGCCACACUGGGACUGAGGCCGAGCCCAGACUCCUACGGGAGGCAGAAGUGGGGAAUUUUGGACAAUGGGCGCAAGCCUGAUCCAGCAAUGCCGCGUGCAGGAAGAAGGCCUUCGGGUUGUAAACUGCUUUUGUACGGAACGAAAAGGUCUGGGUUAAUACCCUGGGCACAUGACGGUACCGUAAGAAUAAGCACCGGCUAACUACGUGCCAGCCGCCGCCGUAA